GACGAACGCUGGCGGCGUGCCUAAUACAUGCAAGUCGAACGCAGUGGGGACGGGGGAGUAACACGUGGGUAACCUCCCAUCAGAGGGGAUAACACGUGGAAACAGGCGUUAAACCGAUAUUGAUGGAUGGACCAGCGGUGCAUUAGCUAGUUGGUGAGGUAACGGCUCACCAAGGCCACGAUGCAUAGCCGGUCUGAGAGGGUGAUCAGCCACACUGGGACGUAGACACGGCCCAGACUCCUGCGGGAGGCAGCAGUAGGGAAUCUUCGGCAAUGGGCGAAGGUCUGACCCAGCAACGCAGCGUGUAUGAAGAAGGCCUUAGGGUUGUAAAGUACUUUCAGCGGGGAGGCGUUACCCGCAGAAGAAGCACCGGCUAACGCCGUGCCAGCAGCCGCGGUAAUUC
rnacentral:rRNA from 1 species